UACGGGGGGGAGCAAGCGUUGUUCGGAUUUACUGGGCGUAAAGGGCGCGUAGGCGGCCACCGCAAGUCGACUGUGAAAUCUCCGGGCUUAACCCGGAAAGGUCAGCCGAUACUGCGGGGCUAGAGUGCAGAAGGGGCAACUGGAAUUCUCGGUGUAGCGGUGAAAUGCGUAGAUAUCGAGAGGAACACCUGCGGCGAAGGCGGGUUGCUGGGCUGACACUGACGCUGAGGCGCGAAAGACUAGGGGAGCGAACGGG
rnacentral:rRNA from 1 species